GACGAACGCUGGCGGCGUGCCUAAUACAUGCAAGUUGAGCGCUGAAGGUUGGUACUUGUACCAACUGGAUGAGCAGCGAACGGGUGAGUAACGCGUGGGGAAUCUGCCUUUGAGCGGGGGACAACAUUUGGAAACGAAUGCUAAUACCGCAUAAAAACUUUAAACACAAGUUUUAAGUUUGAAAGAUGCAAUUGCAUCACUCAAAGAUGAUCCCGCGUUGUAUUAGCUAGUUGGUGAGGUAAAGGCUCACCAAGGCGAUGAUACAUAGCCGACCUGAGAGGAUGAUCGGCCACAUUGGGACUGAGACACGGCCCAAACUCCUACGGGAGGCAGCAGUAGGGAAUCUUCGGCAAUGGACGAAAGUCUGACCGAGCAACGCCGCGUGAGUGAAGAAGGUUUUCGGAUCGUAAAACUCUGUUGGUAGAGAAGAACGUUGGUGAGAGUGGAAAGCUCAUCAAGUGACGGUAACUACCCAGAAAGGGACGGCUAACUACGUG
rnacentral:rRNA from 1 species